rnacentral:lncRNA from 1 species
UGUACCUCUCAAAUAGCUUCCCCAUUUUGACUAAGAAUGAAGAACUUCUUGGACAAAGAACUUGUAAAAAUCAGGUUCAUGGUCUUUCUUUUGCCCUCAAGUGAGAGGUGAAGCCAGCUGGACUUCCUGGGUCAAGUGUGGACUUGGAGAACUCUUCUGUCUAGCUAGAGGAUUGUAAAUUAUUCGUGAGCCUUUAUUGGUUUUGUUCCAUUGAAUGGUCCAGAGUUUCUGCUCUCCUGGAGAAUCAUUCACCCCAUUACCCCAGAAGAUGGACAUUUGGUGAAUCAUAAUAGACGGAGACUCUACUUUGUGUGUGACAUGCUGAGACUACUGGGACCCUGAUAGCCCUACUCCU